GGGAGUUUUUAACUCAAGUGGCGGACGGGUGAGUAACACGUAAGAAUUUACCUUUAGGAGGGGGAUAACAACUGGAAACGGUUGCUAAUACCCCAUAUGCUUUCGAGUGAAAUGGAUUUUUCCGCCUAAAGAGGAGCUUGCGGCUGAUUAGCUUGUUGGUAAGGUAAUGGCUUACCAAGGCGACGAUCAGUAUCUGGUUUGAGAGGACGAUCAGACACACUGGAACUGAGACACGGUCCAGACUCCUACGGGAGGCAGCAGUGGGGAAUUUUCCGCAAUGGGCGAAAGCCUGAUGCAGCAACGCCGCGUGCGGGACGAAGGCCUUCGGGUCGUAAACCGCUUUUCUGAGGGACGAGCAAGGACGGUACCUCAGGAAUAAGUCUCGGCUAACUACGUGCCAGCAGCCGCGGUAAAACGUAGGAGGCGAGCGUUAUCCGGAUUUACUGGGCGUAAAGCGUACGCAGGUGGCUGUGCAAGUCGGACAUGAAAGCUCCUGGCUUAACUGGGAGAGGUGGUUCGAAACUGCGCGGCUUGAGGUUGGGAGAGGGACGUGGAAUUCCCGGUGUAGUGGUGGAAUGCGUAGAUAUCGGGAGGAACACCAGUGGCGAAAGCGGCCUCCUGGAUCGUACCUGACGCUGAGAUGCGAAAGCUAGGGGAGCAAACAGGAUUAGA
rnacentral:rRNA from 1 species